rnacentral:lncRNA from 1 species
UGGGUGGGUGGGAGGAUUUGGGGUGAUGGGUAGAGUUUUUAAUUAUGUGAAAAUAUUUUUUUCUUAUUUUUUUUAACUUUUAAUUAUUAGAAUAUUUAAUUAUAUUUUUAUCCAUAUGGAGAAGGUAGCCUCCACUUGCCAUGUCACUCAUUUGAUUAGUGGAUGAUGAUCCAUGUGUAUGAAAUUACAAAAACACCCCUGCCACGUCAUCAAAGUUAACAGACUUUUAGAUAGAGUUGACGGUAGGAGGCAUAGUGGGUCACCAAACCUCGGUCAAUGGAUGAAAGUGGGUCAUUUUAAGUUUGGGGGGGCAAAGUCAGAUUUGAU